rnacentral:rRNA from 1 species
AAAACUGAGGAAAAGAAACCAACAGGGAUUGCCUCAGUAACGGCGAGUGAAGCGGCAAAAGCUCAAAUUUGAAAUCCCCCCGGGGAGUUGUAAUUUGAAGAUUGCGUCUUGGAGGCGACCGUGUCUAUGUUCCUUGGAACAGGACGUCACAGAGGGUGAGAAUCCCGUGCGGCACGGCCCCCGGCUCCUUAUAAGGCGCUCUCGACGAGUCGAGUUGUUUGGGAAUGCAGCUCAAAGUGGGUGGUAAAUUCCAUCUAAAGCUAAAUACAGGCGAGAGACCGAUAGCGAACAAGUACAGUGAUGGAAAGAUGAAAAGCACUUUGAAAAGAGAGUGAAACAGCACGUGAAAUUGUUGAAAGGGAAGGGCAUGCCGUCAGAUUGUCAGUGUGGGUAAGAAGCGGGGUACAAAGACUGUGGAACGUGGCCCUCGGGUGUUAUAGCCGCAGUUCAUGCCCCGUCUCUUUCCGAGGCCUGCUUUGAGGACACCGACGUAAUGACGGUACGCCGCCCGU